GAUGAAGAACGUAGCGAAAUGCGAUACGUAAUGUGAAUUGCAGAAUUCAGUGAAUCAUCGAAUCUUUGAACGCAUAUUGCGCUCUUUGGUAUUCCGAAGAGCAUGCUUGUUUGAGUAUCAGUAAACACCUCAACCUCUUCUUGAUUUUUCAAAAGGAGGGUGGACUUGAGCUAUCCCAACAACCUUUACCGGUCGGCGGGCGGCUUGAAAUGCAGGUGCAGCUGGACUUUUAUCUGAGCUAAAAGCAUAUCUAUUUAGUCCUCGUCAAACAGGAUUAUUACUUUUGCUGCAGCUAACAUAAAGGAUAAUUGUCCUCUUUGCUGACUGAUGCAGGAUUUUACGACACUUUAUGUGUUGUUCAACUCGAUCUCAAAUCAAGUAAGACUACCCGCGGAACUUAAGCAUAUCAACAAGCGGAGGA
rnacentral:misc_RNA from 1 species